UAUCGGAUUGAUACUAAGCCAUGCGAGUCAUUGCAGUAAUGCAAGGCAGACGGCUCAGUAACGCGUAGUCAACCUACCCUAUGGACGGGAAUAACCUCGGGAAACUGAGUAUAAUGCCCGAUAGAACACUAUACCUGGAAUGGUUUGUGUUCCAAAUGAAUGUCGCCGUAGGAUGGGACUGCGGCCUAUCAGUUUGUUGGUGAGGUAAUGGCCCACCAAGACUAUUACAGGUACGGGCUCUGAGAGGAGUAGCCCGGAGAUGGGUACUGAGACACGGACCCAGGCCCUAUGGGGCGCAGCAGGCGAGAAAACUUUGCAAUGUGCGAAAGCACGACAAGGUUAAUCCGAGUGGUUUGUGCUAAACGAACCUUUUGACAGUCCUAGAAACACUGUUGAAUAAGGGGUGGGCAAGUUCUGGUGUCAGCCGCCGCGGUAAAACCAGCACCUCAAGUGGUCAGGAUGAUUAUUGGGCCUAAAGCAUCCGUAGCCGGCUCUGUAAGUUUUCGGUUAAAUCUGUACGCUCAACGUACAGGCUGCCGGGAAUACUGCAGAGCUAGGGAGUGGGAGAGGUAGACGGUACUCGGUAGGAAGGGGUAAAAUCCUUUGAUCUAUUGAUGACCACCUGUGGCGAAGGCGGUCUACCAGAACACGUCCGACGGUGAGGGAUGAAAGCUGGGGGAGCAAACCGGAUUAGAUACCCGGGUAGUCCCAGCUGUAAACUAUGCAAACUCAGUGAUGCAUUGGCUUGUGGCCAAUGCAGUGCUGCAGGGAAGCCGUUAAGUUUGCCGCCUGGGAAGUACGUACGCAAGUAUGAAACUUAAAGGAAUUGGCGGGGGAGCACCACAAGGGGUGAAGCCUGCGGUUCAAUUGGAUUC
rnacentral:rRNA from 1 species